rnacentral:tRNA from 1 species
AUUUUAGUAGCUUAAAAUAAAGCAUAAUAUUGAAGAUACUAUGAUAGUAAAAUUACUCUAAAAUA